AGACAGCAGUAGCCACGGGAAUACAGAGGGUGCGAGCGUUAAUCGGAAUUACUGGGCGUAAAGCGCGCGUAGACGGUUUUGUAAGUCAGAUGUGAAAUCCCUGGGCUCAACCUGGGAACUGCAUUUGAAACUGCACGGCUAGAGUAUCGAAGAGGGAAGUGGAAUUUCCGGUGUAGCGGUGAAAUGCGUAGAUAUCGGAAGGAACACCAGUGGCGAAAGCGACUUCCUGGUCGAAUACUGACGUUCAUGUGCGAAAGCGUGGGGAGCAAACAGGAUUAGAGACCCCAGUAGUCCCUGUCUCUUAUAC
rnacentral:rRNA from 1 species